rnacentral:tRNA from 3 species
GCGGAACUGGCGGAAUUGGUAGACGCGCUAGAUUCAGGUUCUAGUGGGGCAACCUGUCCGGGUUCAAGUCCCGGGUUCCGCA